UACGAAGGGUGCAAACGUUGCUCGGAAUUAUUGGGCGUAAAGCGCACGUAGGCGGCAUUGCAAGUCGGAUGUGAAAUCUUAUGGCUUAACCAUAAAAGUGCAUCCGAAACUGCAGUGCUUGAGUACUUAAGAGGAUCGCGGAAUUCCCGGUGUAGAGGUGAAAUUCGUAGACAUCGGGAGGAACACCAGUGGCGAAGGCGGCGAUCUGGGAAGAUACUGACGCUGAGGUGCGAAAGCGUGGGGAGCAAACAGG
rnacentral:rRNA from 1 species